rnacentral:rRNA from 1 species
GACGAACGCUGGCGGCGUGCUUAACACAUGCAAGUCGAGCGGUAAGGCCCUUUCGGGGGUACACGAGCGGCGAACGGGUGAGUAACACGUGGGUGACCUGCCCUCAGCUCUGGGAUAAGCCUGGGAAACCGGGUCUAAUACCGGAUAUGACUCCAUGACGCAUGUUGUGGGGUGGAAAGCCUUGUGCGGCUGAGGAUGGGCCCGCGGCCUAUCAGCUUGGUUGGGUGGGGUGAUGGCCUACCAAGGCGACGACGGGUAGCCGGCCUGAGAGGGCGACCGGCCACACUGGGACUGAGACA